CAAAUAUAUGACAAUAAUAAUAACUUGAGUGUGAAAUACAUUAAACUAAGUUUUUUAAGUAAUGCAUCAACUCAUUUACUUUGAAUUUUCUUUUGGUAUAAAAAUGAUAUAUACUUCUAAAAAUGUAUAUUUUAAUAAACAUGUCCUUGACGUGUCAUAUCCUAGAUAUUUUAAAUAUGGCAUGUCACCGUAUCCAUGUCGAG
rnacentral:misc_RNA from 1 species